UGUGUGUGUGUGUGUGGUGUGUGUGUGUGUGUGUGUGUGUGUGUGUGUGUGUGUGUAUACAUACACAUACAUGCAUACAAACAUGCAUACACAUAUAUACAUGUGUAUACACAUGUACAUAUACAUGUAUAUAUAUAUGCACAUAUGUAUGUAUAUACAUAUACAUACAUAC